UACGGAGGGUGCAAGCGUUAAUCGGAAUUACUGGGCGUAAAGCGUGCGCAGGCGGUUUGUUAAGUCCGCUGUGAAAUCCCCGAGCUCAACUUGGGAAUUGCAGUGGAUACUGGCAAGCUGGAGUACGGUAGAGGAAGGUGGAAUUCCCGGUGUAGCAGUGAAAUGCGCAGAGAUCGGGAGGAACACCCGUAGCGAAGGCGGCGCUCUGGGCCGGUACUGACGCUGAGGAGCGAAAGCGUGGGGAGCAAACAGG
rnacentral:rRNA from 1 species